CCGGUGGAGAAAGCACGUGGCGCUCCUGCAGUUUACUGUACUAGUAAGAAGCCACACCCAUCCUGUGAAAGCAGCCUAAGCUACACUGAUCCAAUGUUUUCGACUACCAAGUCUAAAUAGCAUCAACUGUAAGAGAGGUGACCUCUUUCCGACUGUGAAAGGCUUCUGCAACAAGUAGGACAAUGUCACGGUCACCAUGGAGAACGGGCAGAGCAGCUGCAGGAGGCAGAAUGUUUGCAGGGGCUACUGCAGCUACGUGGGACUCUCUUCCAGAGGAGACUGAGAUGUCCACACAGCACACUACUCUCCUGAGCACAUGCAGACACAGAAACAAAGAGCUUCAGAGGACCCUCAAGAAAGGAUAAGGAAGACUUUUUAUGAUUUCUCUUUAUGAAAUUGUGAAACACUCAGAUAUCAUAGCAGUGUCUAAAAAGAAACAGAGAAUUAAAAAUGAAAGAAAUCAAGCUAGCUGCAGAAGGAGUGAAAAAAUAGUGCUUGAAGAAGAGUGUGGACUACUUCUAAGCCCCAUGCCCCAGCUCUAACUCAACUGGGAUGUAUUCAGCCGAUUGUAUUACACUGCUUUAUUUUCUGGGGCUCCCAUUCAGAAUAGUCUCUGAGCAAGCUUGAAAUCAAGAUCCGAGUAAGUGAAUCAUCCAGAUUAAGUAGAAAAGAUUGUGUGCCUAAAGUGCAGCAUGUGUAAAUGUCCUGCUGAAUAGAGAUUAAAGUAAUCAUGAAAAUUUCUACAGGUGAAAUAUUUGCCACUGAUAUAUUCGCAUAGUGUAUCACUUACUGGAAACAUCCUGCAACAUGUAAUUUUAUUUCCAGUUUUACAAGAAGACAGAAACUGACAAUGACAUAGAAAAUGGACAUAUGCAAGAUAAGCUAUUCAGUGCCAAUAACAAACAGUGAUAUAAGAGCUAAAUCUUUAGGAUUCUCAUUCUAAAAUAACCUUGGUUUUGCUGUGAGAUGGUCACAGACUUAAAGCUGAACUUGCUCGGUUUGCCCAAGAUCUUUUAAUUAAAAUAUACAAGCCCUACUGAAUUCGAGUAAGGACCAAACAUUCAUGCAGGAAAAAUGAGCUUCUUUUAACAGUCUGGCAGCUAACAUAGGCCUGGUUCUUAAAGAGUUCACUGGAGAUCUGGAUGGACUGGGAUAAAACAGUAUGAAUGAGAAUUUGAAGGGAAAGGAAAGAGCAAGAAAACAGCAAAGAAUCAAGCUUUCAAUUUCUGUUGUAAAUGGGAAGAAUCUCUGAGGUAAUUACACAUCUUCACAUGAAUCCCACUCCCUUGUGUUUCACUGUCAUUUCACUGAAAUGGAUAAAUAAAUGAAACUUACAAGGAAUUAAUGACUUCAUCUUAUGCUUCAAAACUGGAUCCACAGAAUAGAGCAGAGUAAAUUUGGGAUGGAGUUUCUGAUAACGAAUUUCCUGAACUGCCACAUAAAGCAGGGUUUUGAGCUGCAGCUUGAGAGUUUGCUAGUACUGUACAAAAGAAUGUUCUCCCCUGUUCUGUUCAGGUGAAUUUGGUGUCUAGAUUGUUUACUCCCAGCAGCCUCCUUGCUCUGAAUAUC